CACCAGGUUCAGAAGAUGGGCAGCUGAGGGCAGCCAUCCCUUAACCUGCAAGGAUUGUCCAGUGUUUACAGGGGGCAGGGGCAGCAGCCAUGCCAGAUUACUGCAUCCCUGGCACAGAGUAUACAGGAGGCACUAGCCUGUAACACCAGCGCUCAAGAUACACAGGAGUAUUUGUCUGAAAGUAUGUGUGUGUGACAUGUGUUUGUAAUGCCCAAGAAGUCUAGAAUUGUGUAUCAAAUUCCCUGAAAAUUGGAGUUUUAGACAUUUGCGAACAGACAUAUCAGUGCUGGAAAGAGACCUUGAGAUCCUCUGCAAGAACAGCAAGUGCUCUUAACCACUGAGCCAUCUGUCCAGCUCCAGGAAUGGAGCCAUUGGGGAUAUUGUGAUGACUCAGGCUGCACCCUCUGUACCUGUCACUCCUGGAGAGUCAGUAUCCAUUUCUUGCAAGUCUAGUAAGAGUCUUCUGCAUAGUAAUGGCAUCACUUAUUUGUAUUGGUAUCUGCAGAGGUCAGGCCAGUCUCCUCAGCUCCUGAUAUAUCGGAUAUCCAACCUUGCCUCAGGAGUCCCAGACAGGUUCAGUGGCAGUGGGUCAGGAACUGAUUUCACACUGAGAAUCAGCAGAGUGGAGGCUGAGGAUGUGGGUGUUUAUUACUGUAUGCAAGGUCU
rnacentral:lncRNA from 1 species